UGCCCUUCACUUGUGACCCCCCUGGGGGCUGCAACCCCCGGGUUGAGAAACAUUGAGCUAGAUGAGAUGAGUACUGCCUGGAAGACCUCUG